CCUACGGGCGGCAGCAGUGAGGAAUAUUGGUCAAUGGACGAGAGUCUGAACCAGCCAAGUAGCGUGAAGGAUGACUGCCCUAUGGGUUGUAAACUUCUUUUAUAUGGGAAUAAAAUGUUCCACGUGUGGGAUUUUGUAUGUACCAUAUGAAUAAGGAUCGGCUAACUCCGUGCCAGCAGCCGCGGUAAUACGGAGGAUCCGAGCGUUAUCCGGAUUUAUUGGGUUUAAAGGGAGCGUAGGUGGAUUGUUAAGUCAGUUGUGAAAGUUUGCGGAUCAACCGUAAAAUUGCAGUUGAAACUGGCAGUCUUGAGUACAGUAGAGGUGGGCGGAAUUCGUGGUGUAGCGGUGAAAUGCUUAGAUAUCACGAAGAACUCCGAUUGCGAAGGCAGUUCACUGGACUGCAACUGACACUGAGGCUCGAAAGUGUGGGUAUCAAACAGGAUUAGAUACCCGGGUAGUC
rnacentral:rRNA from 1 species